GACGAACGCUGGCGGCGUGCUUAACACAUGCAAGUCGAACGGAAAGGCCCUGCUUUUGUGGGGUGCUCGAGUGGCGAACGGGUGAGUAACACGUGAGUAACCUGCCCUUGACUUUGGGAUAACUUCAGGAAACUGGGGCUAAUACCGGAUAGGAGCUCCUGCUGCAUGGCGGGGGUUGGAAAGUUUCGGCGGUUGGGGAUGGACUCGCGGCUUAUCAGCUUGUUGGUGGGGUAGUGGCUUACCAAGGCUUUGACGGGUAGCCGGCCUGAGAGGGUGACCGGCCACAUUGGGACUGAGAUACGGCCCAGACUCCUACGGGAGGCAGCAGUGGGGAAUAUUGCACAAUGGGCGGAAGCCUGAUGCAGCAACGCCGCGUGCGGGAUGACGGCCUUCGGGUUGUAAACCGCUUUCGCCUGUGACGAAGCGUGAGUGACGGUAAUGGGUAAAGAAGCACCGGCUAACUACGUGCCAGCAGCCGCGGUGAUACGUAGGGUGCGAGCGUUGUCCGGAUUUAUUGGGCGUAAAGGGCUCGUAGGUGGUUGAUCGCGUCGGAAGUGUAAUCUUGGGGCUUAACCCUGAGCGUGCUUUCGAUACGGGUUGACUUGAGGAAGGUAGGGGAGAAUGGAAUUCCUGGUGGAGCGGUGGAAUGCGCAGAUAUCAGGAGGAACACCAGUGGCGAAGGCGGUUCUCUGGGCCUUUCCUGACGCUGAGGAGCGAAAGCGUGGGGAGCGAACAGGCUUAGAUACCCUGGUAGUCCACGCUGUAAACGGUGGGUACUAGGUGUGGGGUCCAUUCCACGGGUUCCGUGCCGUAGCUAACGCUUUAAGUACCCCGCCUGGGGAGUACGGCCGCAAGGCUAAAACUCAAAGGAAUUGACGGGGCCCCGCACAAGCGGCGGAGCAUGCAGAUUAAUUCGAUGCAACGCGUAGAACCUUACCUGGGUUUGACAUGGAUCGGGAGUGCUCAGAGAUGGGUGUGCCUCUUUUGGGGUCGGUUCACAGGUGGUGCAUGGCUGUCGUCAGCUCGUGUCGUGAGAUGUUGGGUUAAGUCCCGCAACGAGCGCAACCCUUGUUCACUGUUGCCAGCACGUUAUGGUGGGGACUCAGUGGAGACCGCCGGGGUCAACUCGGAGGAAGGUGGGGAUGACGUCAAGUCAUCACGCCCCUUAUGUCCAGGGCUUCACGCAUGCUACAAUGGCUGGUACAGAGAGUGGCGAGCCUGUGAGGGUGAGCGAAUCUCGGAAAGUCGGUCUCAGUUCGGAUUGGGGUCUGCAACUCGACCUCAUGAAGUCGGAGUCGCUAGUAAUCGCAGAUCAGCAACGCUGCGGUGAAUACGUUCCCGGGGCU
rnacentral:rRNA from 1 species